AGGAUACUCCUAUGGAGUAGGUAUAGUUUCUAACCCUAUUUCAUAGGAUAAAGAAAUUGAAGCUCACAAAGUGACUAGACUGGAAGACAGACCGAGACCCUGUCUCAAAAAAUAUAAAAAUAAAUAAACAAAGACGAGAAAACUAAGGCCCAGAGAUGCUAGAAUGCCAGAAGCCUGGGAUUUGAGCUCGUGAGGGUAAUUAAUGCCAUGGCUGGAGCUAGAUUAAAUGUCAUGAUUAUUCUGAUCUGAAAGUUGAGGCAGAUUUUUCCUUUCUUUCUUUUCUUUCUUUCUUUUUCUUCUUUCUUUCUUUGUUUUUCUUCUUUCUUUCUCUCUCUCUUUUUUUUUUAGACAAAUUUUGCUUGGCGCAAUCUUGGUUCACUGCAACCUUCAGCUCCUGGGUUCAACCGAUUCUCCUGCCUCACAGCCUCCCGAGUAGCUGGGAUUACAGGCGUGUGCCACCACACUUAUUUUCUUAUUAUAUACUUUUAUCUCUCCUUCUGCUCCUCCUUGCAUUUAUUUAAAAGCAGUAAGAUCAGACCAGCCUGGGCAACAGGGGGAGACCCUGUCUCUACAAAAAAAUAAACGAAUCAGCCAGGCACAGUGUUAUGUGCCUGUAGUCCCAGCUCUUCAGGAGACUGAGGUGGAAGAAUGGCUUGAGUCCAGGAGGUUGAGGCUGCAGUGAGCCACCGUCAUGCCACUACACUCUAGCCUGGGUGACAGAGCUAGACACUGUCUCAAAAAAAUAAA
rnacentral:lncRNA from 1 species